rnacentral:hammerhead_ribozyme from 1 species
AUCCAGCUGAUGAAUCCUGAAUACGACGAAACGCGUGUCCUGGAU